AGAGUUUGAUCAUGGCUCAGAACGAACGUUGGCGGCGUGGAUUAGGCAUGCAAGUCGAACGAGAAAGUGGUUUUCGGACCAUGAGUAAAGUGGCGAACUGGUGAGUAACAGGUGGGUAAUUUGCCUCUUAGUGGGGGAUAACCACUGGAAACAGUGGGUAAUACCGCAUACGGCUCGGGAAUCGCAAGGUACCCGGGUUAAAGACGUGAGUCGCUAAGAGAGAAGCCCGCUCCCGAUUAGCUAGUUGGUAGGGUAAUGGCCUACCAAGGCUACGAUCGGUAGGUGGCCUGAGAGGGUGGUCACCCACACUGGGACUGAGAUACGGCCCAGACUCCUACGGGGGGCAGCAGUCUAGAGGCUUCCACAAUGGACGAAAGUCUGAUGGAGCGACGCCGCGUGCGGGAUGAAGGCCGUGAGGUUGUAAACCGCUGUCAGCAGGGAAGAAUGCCCGAAUGGUGAAUUCGGGAGGGACGGUACCUGCAGGGGAAGCCCCGGCUAACUCCGUGCCAGCAGCCGCGGUAAUACGGAGGGGGCAAACGUUGUUCGGAAUUACUGGGCGUAAAGGGUGCGUAGGCGGUUCGGCCAGUCUGAUGUGAAAGCCCAUUGCUCAACAAUGGAUCCGCAUUGGAAACUACCGAGCUCGAGAGCGGAAGAGGCAGGUGGAAUUCCUGGUGUAGCGGUGGGAAUGCGUAGAUAUCAGGAAGAACACUCGUGGCGAAGCGGGCCUGCUGGUCCGUUUCUGACGCUGAGGCACGAAAGCUAGGGGAGCGAACGGGAUUAGAUACCCCGGUAGUCCUAGCUGUAAACGGUGAACACUGGGUGUCGGGGGUAUCGACCCCCUCGGUGCAGGAGCUACGCGUUAAGUGUCGCCUGGGAGUACGACCGCA
rnacentral:rRNA from 1 species